rnacentral:sRNA from 1 species
UUUUAAGGAAGGCCGACUAAGUACGCCCCUUCCUAGGGCAACGUCAGCAUGACCCGGAUCCUCCGGG